rnacentral:tRNA from 1 species
GGGUUGGGACGAUAUAUACGGCUGAUCUGUAAAAUCAGUACUCCCUCAAAUCAAUAGGGCCAAUCCU